UGGAAACCUCUUCUGAAAAGAGCCAUCAGAUAUAUGAACCUGAACGUUGGAUUCCUGUAUUGUCAGUCAGUCAGGAGCCAGUAUGGGUACCUGGUUUCAGAAGAUGCCAGACAACUGGAGGAAAGAGAAAGGUGAUUUACCUAACAGUGGAAGGAAGAACUUGGUGCAAAAGAAAAUCAACUGAAGAUUGGGAUUGUUGGUUGGGAACAGCACUGUCUCUAGGUAUCUGAAAGAUGAACAAGAGAUGAUUAGACUCAUUCUGCUUAGAGAUGAAAGACCAAAUAAAGACCCAUAUGUAGAAAUCCAUAG
rnacentral:lncRNA from 1 species